CCGCGGGGUGGGCCGGCUGCGACGGCGGAGGAGCAGCGAAGCGAGGUGGGCCCGGCUGUGCGUCCGUGUCAGAAUCGGCCGCGGUCCGUGGGAGAGGCAGAAGCGAGCGGAGUCCGAGGUUUUGCUGGAGGACAGCGGUGUGGGUGCAGUAAAUCACGGCCAGACUGCAGGUGAUGUGCGGUGAGCUUGGAAGCGCUGAGCCCUCCUUGCCGUUACUGUGCAGGUACUUAAAAUGUGUGUUGCUGCUGAAAAUCUUUACAUGUGUUCAGGCACGGAACUUCCUGACCUUCUGAGCUGAUGGGCUCCUUCACAGCGCAGACACCUUCAUGACCCCUUUAAAAUUCCUGUUAAAAACAGGGGCUGCGGUCACGUUCCCAGCACACGGGUUCUGCACGGUGUUUGUGGGAGGAGCUGCAGUCCAGAGACCUGACCUCAGGACGUGCUUGACAUCCAGUAUUGCCCGGGACGAGAGGAAGACAAGAGGCAACAUUGUAUGAGGCUACUGAAAAUAGCAAAUCAAACAGUUGGUCAGGAAACCAGCUGAGGACUGUGCCAUCCACUGAACCGGGAAGAGUCUCACGCUCGUCCUUCCAUACAUGGAGGUACAGAAGAGAUGAUGAAAGCAUUCUGGUGUGCUGGGAUUCCCGUUCUCCUAUGGGAGUUCACUCUAGUCUGCAUUCUCGUAGCUGUGCUGCUCAACUCGAUGUGGCUGUUCCUGCUGUGAUCUUCAGUGAACAUCACCGUGAUUGCUGACAGCUCGCAGAAACAGAACAUUUCAACUGCUUUUCUUAAAGCUCAACUCUAUGUAAAGGAGAAGUGGCUAGAAACCCCAAACUGGGUCCUGGGUCUUGCUUAACUCUGUAAAGCACACUGACUUGCUGACACGACUCCAGUUAAGGUAUGGUAUGAAUCAGGAGCUCCAACAGCCGCUGUGGAAUGAGCGCGUUCACGUGAAGUCAUCCUGCAGCAGCUAUUGCAGAAUAGUCAACUGCUCUGUGUAAGCAAGCCCUAAAAGACAAUCCUGGUCCCAGCAGUUGUGUGAUUAGGUAAGGGAGGUAAUGGGCACAAGACAGGCACACUCUGUCUGCUAAGGAUGGGCUGGGAGCAAAGAAACUUGUGCUGCUCAAGGCUGCCUUGCAGGUCGCUGCCUUUGGAGUUGUUUGCUUCAGGACUUUCUGCUUUGAUGCCUUUGAUUUCUAAGACCGGUCCAGCAUACGAAGCCACAGACUGUUUCCUCAUGUAGCUGAUGCAGUGUCUUCACCUGAUACCAAAACAAGAUGUGAGGAAUUGAACGUUUCCCCUGGUGAGAUGUGUGGAUGGAACUGACCUGCUUUUAAUCCAGUAUCUACCGAUCAAAUAAACAGAAGCACCACCACUACUGACAAGAAUGACUGACGCUUAGUACUGGAAACAGGAAGAUCCAGAAGGGGUUUUUGUUCCUAUGUUACAAUUUUUAUCUUUAGUAUUCACAUCUUACUCAAAGUAAGAAUAUUUGUAUGUUAAAAUAACCCCCUUUUUGCUUUGUAAUACUGGAUUGAGCCUGCCCAGCUUCUUCCUAUCACAGCUCUGCCCCGUGGAGAGAACCCAGUGGUGGGUGUGGAGGUCAGAAGAGCUCCUCCAAAUGCAGGGGAUGUGCACAGGACAAUCCUGCAGCUCUUCCUGAAGCUAGUGCAUGGAUGAACGGAUCGUCUUCUCAUGUGCUAUGGGAACUCUGCCUAUAUAAAUGUCUGACAAACUCUUCCAGUGCUUUAUAACCGUGUUUCUUCCACCUUCUGGUAAGCCACAAUUUCCUGCUUGUGCAUCUCUGUCAUUUAGCAUCUCCAGCCUGGCUUGGAAAAUGCAGAAAUUCCUAAAAUAAAUGUGUUUUGAAAAGUAGACACGGGAUUUUUUCAGUCAGUCUCAAUGGUGCUGCCCUAGACUUCUUGAAGUUGCCAUCCCUAGAGUAUGCUAAGUAGUAUGAACAUUACAAUAGACCCUGCCAAAAUAAAGCAUUCCCUACUCGCAUGCAGAUAAUUCUGCAUGGACAGCAGAAGAUGUACUAAGCUUGAGCCACCAUUCAUAUUUCUCUGCACAUCAAAGCAACUGCUCCAGAAUCUUUCAAGCACCAGUGUUCCAAGCUGCAAGGAGCCUCUGGCUGCACAGGACCUUUCUGAACUGCCCUGUGAUGUUAUCAACUGCUUUCAGUGCACAACAUCUGCCUGGAUAAUUUAAUCUGGUACAUUCAUUCAAAUAGAAAUUGUGUGUCAGCCACAUGAUCUGAAUUAGACCAGUGCAGGAAAUAACAUUUUGCAGGCGAAUUUGGUGCCUUCUGUCACUGGAGCCCUUUGCUACUUUUUGAUGAAUAGCUGUUUCAUGGAGGAAAUGUGGUUAUUAAGGCAAACUUUCUUCAUGAUUUAAAUUGCUUUCAGCAAAACUGAAGAAAUCCAAGCUGCCAAGCAACCUUUAGUUUUAGCAGAUUACUGCUGGGCUUUGUCUUUUUAAUUAGGCCAGUGUUGAUCAAGUUUAAUUAAGAGAACUGGUGAGACAGCCAGGACAGCCUUCUUAAGAGCUGGACUGUGUUCUGGGGCCCAGCUGGUAUUGGUUGAGAUUUAGUUCUCUAUAAAGAGAAAUAAAACAAAAUAAAGCCUUAACAAAAUGAAUAGACGCCUUGAGUCACAGCACACAAACUCAUCAGCUGGUGUAGGACAGUGGGACUUCUCUACCUACCUUUCUCUGCAGCAUCAAGUUUUAAAGCUGGUAACAGGAUGUGACUUCUGAACCUGACAGCCCUGCAGACAGAAAUUCCUCAUUGCUGAGGAUGAUUCUGCCUUAUAUGCAAUUUGAAAAAAAAAAAGAAGUACAUAGUUUUACUUGUCUAUUAAAGACACAAGAGAAAGAUCCAUGGUUUUCCAUGUAAAUAACUGUCAGAAGAGAUGAGUUAAAUUCCACAUUUGAAUUCUUGAUAUUCCUCCAUUUGUCAUUGUGCCUUCAAGCUGAUGUGCUGUAAUUAUCCCUGAACGGCUCCCUCAUGACCAGGGCACCUGCUGAGCAUCACCUAUUAGGCUUUUACAUCUAUAAACUUCACCUGCUCCUUCCCUCUGUGCAAAACCAAACUGGUGCUUUCUCUAAGCUCAAAAGGAACCUGUUCACAUAUGAAGAGUAAAAGCAGAGAAUUCAGAGUUGUAGCAAUCAAGUUUAUAAAUCAGGUAAGCCCAGGGAGAGGGGAACAAUACAUUUAUUAGUCUGCAAUUAAGGGAGGGCAGGGAAGUUUUCUCAGACAACUCAGACUCCUGAGGCUGCUCAUCUGCCUCGUGAGAGAAGCAAAGUACACAGCUUCACUGUGAUCCUGAAUCUGAGGCUGAGCAGUUUGUUUUGCCCUUGAGCUUCCUGUGACUUCAGUGCAGCAUUUUUAAAGGGAAAAUUGAACAAAGAUUUAUGGGUUGCCACAGCCUGUAGUUUUCAAACAUAUUGCUAGUUCAUCCACUCCUCCCACAGUGGACUAACAUGCCCUAAUUAUUGCCAGCACACACAAAAAGCAUUUUUAAUCAUUAUAUCAUAAAGUGGGACAGAAGUGGACUAAUGAUACAGAAGGGACCAAAUACAUUUUCAGAGCUCCAGUACACAGGACAGGGUUUGACCAUCAGUCUAUAGGCAGAAAGGUUGUCACAGACAGCCAGUCACAAUAUAUUCUGAUCUUUUGCUCAGCACAGAUACUACCUGCAGUACCAAGCUUUGGCUCCAUGACAGAUGAGAAGCAAAUCUAUGGAUUCCAGUGCUUGCACUUCCAAGUUGUUAUGGCUUGCUAUUAAAUGGGGAAAGGAAGCCAAAGGAAAUCAUGUGCAUUGGAGUCAAAUACCAUUUUUAGGAGUGGGAACUGCAUGAGUAUUUCACCAGUGAUUAAAAUAGCCAGGGACCAGGGCACACUAAUGAUUAAUGAUCUCUUUCUGCAAGCUGAGGACAUGUCCUACAGGAUCUGGCCCUCCUGAGAGACAGUCAUGAAGUACAGUUUGGCGGAGCAUAUUUAAAAGGCAUGAGCAAAAAAGUACAGAAACAACAGUACAAGGCAUUACUACAAGAAAACUCUGGUUUCAAGUGAGGAGCUUCUGGGAGUUCCUCUUUUUUUUUUUUCCCCAGCUGCAGGGAAGGGUGAAAACUAUCAGCUAUAAAAAUAUUACAGUUUAUGCUGUUAAACAAAUCAUAAUUUGUCAACAGGUAGCUGAAUUAUGUCCAACUCCACUGAGAGCCAAAACUGAUCUUUUUUCCCAAUGCUGUUGUAUAGCAACAGCUGGCAGAACACUGUCAAGCAAAGCUGUGCUGGGCUGAUAAAUAAACCAAUGAUCCUCAGUGUAGGAGACAAACCAUCUCAUGGAGAGACUGCAGCUCAUGCUGGGAUGUGUUGAACAAAUACUUGUUAACAAUCUGCACACAGGCAGAGUUGCUUUAUGAAAAGGUGCUAGAAAAAUGUUAUUUGAAUAAAACACAGCAUUCCUAGGGUUAUCAAAAGAACCAGCCAGGUUUUAGGUCUCAGAGUCUCUAAAGCACAGCAGCAAAUCAGUGAACAUUAGCAUUUCUUGUUCAUUCAAAUGGAGAGUUUGGUAACUGGAUUCUGGAUGAGUGGAAAGACCCAACAAGUUCUAAGAUACAGCAAGGCAAGCCAGAAAACAAACAGAGUGAUAUCUGCUUCUGUUUGUUUCAGAGCUCCCAAAUUCUGCUGGAGAAUUUUUCACUUUUCAGUUGUUUCUGAGGCAGGAGGAGACUUGCUCUGAUUGCAGAUGCUGUGUUGCCUCUAAGCCAAUCAGACUACACUGUCCCAUGUGGGAGAAGGAAGGGUAACAAGUGAAAAUGUCCCAUCAGGAGAUACAGCUUUAUGCUGGAGCUCAGAUCCUUGUGCAGCCACCAUAUUAUGCUCUGUGUUUUGUACUUAACACCAUGCUGGUUUUGUCCUUGCUUUGCAGGCAUUUUAUUUUUAUCAUGGGUAAGAACAGGAAUGUGUGCAUUUCUGUGAAAAAACGAGCACAGGGCUGCAAGCUCCAUCUCAGUGCAAAUAAUAUUUUGGCAGGAAACCUGCAGGAGAUUAAAUUAGGGACCUAAAGACUGAAUAUUAAAACAUUUCAAACUUUUGAGUUCUUUUAAAUAAGCAGCAACAAAAUGAAGCAGUCUGACAAAAUUAGCAGGCCCAAAGUGCUAAAGGAAUCCUCUAAGAUUCAUUUAUUUACUGAUGCAGAUUUAGGAGAACUUUUUAGGCUAUUUGUAUUAGUAGCUGUGUAUGUCAACAUGCUAUUUCCUCAAUGCAUUCUGAGUCCAGAUUAGCUAAAGUUUUAGGUGUUGGCAGACUUGCUACAAUAGAAGGGAAAUGCCACUGGAAUAACUUUAAACAUGAUCCAAUCCCUGAUGAUUCACUGGAUGUGUUAAAAUUUCCUCUGAGACCAUGUAAGUAAUGCAGGGACUGGAGUGCAGAGUGCCUGUGACUCAGCUCUCUGCGAGGCAAAGGGAGGAUGUCAGAAUUACUCACAGGGACAGCAGGAAUCUCAUUUAUCUAUUUAUAGGCAAGGCUGAGAUGAGCUCGUGCCAUUGAAGAGCUGAAUUUGCCAGUUCUCCUUGGGGGGAGGAAAAGGGAAGGCCCUACCUUUAGCUUCCAAACCCAAGGACUCUGGCCAGCUGCAUUUUCCUGCCCUUGGAUGAGCAGCACGGGGCACCUGGUGCAGACCUGUUGGAGAGCAGAGCAGCCCCGGCCCCUGGCACCAGUUGCUACUCAGCCCCUGCUCCAGAGGGGCUGCAGGACGGGGAGGUCCCAUGUCCUGAGCUCAGGGGACUCUUCCCACUGCAGGAGCAUCACUGCAGCAAGUGUGUAUGUCAGCCAGCUUCAUUUAAGAGGUGCCAGUUAGGUGCCAGCACUCACUUUGCCAAAAGCCUGUUUACUGCUUCUCUUCAAAGAGGCACAACAUUAUUCCCCGUGCGGGCGUUUUGCCUAACAGGCCAUCAGAAAAGGAGAGCUCCAAGGGACAGAGCGGGGAGCUGAGCACACUGCCUGCCUCCAGCCUCUGCACAGCCUGCAAGGCACUGACAGUGUCGAGACAGCAAUUCCUGAAGGUGUGCUUUCAGCAAUGUAUAUUUAGGUUUGGGAGGUGAAAGAUGGUCACAUUUGGGGUAAAAAGCAAGAGCUCAAGCCCACAGCAAAAUGUUUUAGUGACACUUUUUCUGAUACAGCCAGCACUUAGCAACACAAACUGCAGCCUUGUUUUCUUACCGAGAAAGAAACCACUCCAUGGUACGCACCGCACACCGCACUGCUCCAUCACUGGGAACACCUUUGUGGUGUUGGUUGGGCAGUUCUUUCCACUCCCUGCAUUUAGCUGCUGUGGCUAAUUCCCUUCCCAAAAAAGAAGUUAUCUAGGAAUGCAGGGCUCUGGAUUACUGAUCCAGCCUCCUACUGUUACAUUCAAUUACAUCAUAUUGUGCUUUUUGGCAGGCUGUCCCCGCACUUCAUUUAAAAUUUUCAGCUUUAAUAUCAUUUGUUCUUGUGCCAGCAUCAUAAUUUAGUUUAAACAAUUCUCUUUUUCCUCUGAUCUUUACCUAUCAGAUAUAUUUACUGAAAACAAUCCUAUCUCCUCUAGCCUUUGUUUUGAAAAACUAAACAAAUGAAAGUCUUCUAGUCUCCUCUUGUUCUAAACCCUCUGAUCAUCCUCAGUGCCCUUCUCUGUACCUGCUAAUCUUCCUCAAACAUGAGUGAACCUGUACCUUCAAGGAUUGUGUUUGCCUCUCCAUAUCAGAUUGGUGGCUCACAGUUAUCCCUGGGAGCAAGUAAGCUCUGCGGUUUUUUUUCCACCCCCCUGCCUUUGUCAUCUUUAAGUGAGUAAUAUGAUAUUCUAGUUAUUAAUUUCUAUCUGCACGUCUUACUACUUUGUCCAUUCUAUUUCAGAUGAAUUCUGUCAUUCACUCAUUGCUGACUGAUGUUCCGAUCAUCCUCUGUAUUAAGAAAGCCCGUGUCCUCAGCAGAUUUCUUUACUACAUUCCUGCUGCUGUGCCAGACUCAUUAAUGAAACAAGCAAGACUGAACUCAACACUGACUCCUGAGGAGUUCCACUUACUGACUGCCUCUGUCUGGCAUUUCUUCUCUUCUCACAGCUCCCCUUUCCUCUGCACUUUUAACAGUUUUGCAUUCACCAUCCACACUAAUCCCCAUCGUCUCAACUUCAACUAGUAAUUUCCCCUGUGGUAUAAUAUCAGAUUCUUCACUCAAGUCUGGAUAGAGUAAAUCACCUGUAUUUCAUUUACCUAAAAAAAAAUCAGUCAUCAAAGAGAAAUAUCAGGGUAAGCUGAACUCAUUUCAUGUGCCAAAUCCUGGGAUGGAAAUCUGCCAGUGCACCUUCACCUGAGCACACUGAAUUCUUCAUGCCUUUCUUUCCACCUUACAUGCAGUGAUUUUCAUUCCCUUACGUAUAUUCCCACUAGAAAUCCUGUCUUUGUCCCACUGCUCAAUAUGAUCAUCUCUACUGAAUAUGUGGACAAGGUGUUUUUAAUUCAUUUUUAGACUAUAUGUAGUUGGGUCUAAUCUCAACCCCAUUCUCACUCCGUAACGACCACGUUUCUCCUCUUUUUAUUUCACCAGUUGAAACCCUCUGCCAUCUGUUCUAAUUUCAAGUCCAAUUCGCGAGCUCACCUUUGACGUUUCAUUCUGUCUCUACCUUCCCCAUCCCAGCAACUUCAAAUUGGACGACUGAGGCAAAUCCUGCCUCCAGUCUUCUGCUCCACCACUUCUCUCCAAUGCCACCUUUGUGGCAGUAACUCAUAAGGCAGGUCCAGAACUGCUGCCCUGAACACAUCACUGGAGUAGUGGCUGUUCAGGAACUGCAGGGUAAGCUGCUUUGUCAGCCCUGUGAUAAGAGUGAUGGACUCCAUCAAAGAGCAGAGCAGAGCAUCGUACUCUGUAGCAGUUCCUCUCCAGACAUCUGAUUUCAAUCCCUAGCUGCAUGCCAGCAGAAUACCCUCAUGCCAGUCAGAACUUCUGCAUGUCAGUUAAUGCUCCCCAUGUGUUUGGGGCUGGUUAUUUAUCCCACUGGGGUUGGAGCAUUUCCUGUCAGGGUUAAACUUCCUGCAUGUUUCAGCUACUUUUGGAAUCCAAGUUCCAUCACAUUCAAUUCCUCAGCUCUGCAGUGCAGCUGAUUCCACUAAUUAGCUCCCUUAAUUUCUCAACAUUUGCCCUCUUUGAGAUGAGUUUGUGUGUCACUACAGACGGUGCUGAAGAUUCAGUCCUAACAAGGUGCCUUUAAAAGCUGUGUUUCUUACCCAGAGUCCUCAGAGGCUUUGGCUGACUCACAACUUGGUGCUUUAGAGGCUGUGAAAGAACUGCACUCUCCUUUGUGCAUGAGGUACAAUCUUAUCAUUGCUCAGUAUUAUUCAGCAUUUUCAUUCUGUAUCCAACUGAGACAAUAAAGAGCCUAAAAGGCCACAUUUCAAAACAUACUGCACUGGAUGGAGAGUCCAGUUAAGUCCCUAAAGUGAAGUCCAACGCUUCCUACCCCCACCAUGAUCACUGCAGCACUCUGCUAACCAGCUCUAAUUACCAGAACGCAGGAUGCCCGUACCUGCCUAUUUGCUUUGAAUUCUGCUAAUUUCCUGCAGAAAGCAAAGCCCAUCCAGACUGCAGCUGACCAGUCUGUGACGUGCAGACAGGUAGCAGAGGCCUAGCUUAGACUGUGCUUAGACCAGCACAAGAAGAGAGAGCCAUGUCCACAAGGGACUUCUGAAAAACGCAAAGCACCUUUAAAAAUCCAGGCCUUAUUGCCAGGACUCCGCAUGUGACACAUGUCCUCUCUUUACCUGCUUCCUCCAGAGCGGCAGCAGCACGGCCCUCUUCCCAAGCCAGCAUGCAGGUGAUACAGCCAUAGUGCUGGGGCCACGUUGCUAUCUGAGAUAGAUGGAAGCUGUCUUCUGCUGCCAAACUGGUGCACGUUCAAACUCUGUAGAAAGAGCUGAAAUGGCAGAGCAAAGUAAAUUUCUCUCCUCCUCUCCCCUCUCUUUCAAGGGGAGCAAAUACGCCCCUUUCCCAAAACACGUCUGCCUUGAAUGCUCCCUGCUCUGCUGGGCACCUACUGACCUUGGCACUGUCACAGGACUCGUGUUUUUCUGAAAGAGUAACCUCCUUGUCAAGAGGCUUAUUGCUUUGGGAAACACAAAGCAGUCUUGUCCUCCAAGUGUCCAAGCCUUCUUUUCACGUCUGUUUAUUCCUUCACUAGCAUUUAUUUUUGGCCCUCAAAAAAAACAACCACACAACUCCACAUUAAAGGGAUGGCGUCCAGUUAAAACCCACAUGCUGCACCACCCCUUCACACCCCUUUGCAGGGGAAGGCAGCAAAGGAGACCAACAAAAAAACUCAAGAAAAACUGUCUCCUGUUGGGCACAAAACUGCCUUUGCUUUCUAGUGAAAAGGCAGCAGAGCAUCCUCAGAACCACAGAGCACAUUGGUCAAAUAGGCCAAAUCCUGCAUGCCUGAGGCUUGUUUGUAUAUACAAUCAAAAAUUCAAGGGCCAAAUUUCCAUUUGUCCUGGAAAAUCUUUCUAGUUGGUAUUAUAAAAGGAGCCCAGGAGAGCAAGAUGCCAAUGUCCCACAAUGUCAUACUGAGUUUGCGGCGUGUGUAACUCUUGGGCAAUCCCAGCCUUUGCAACACAGCUUAUCAAGGAUAUAAAAUCAGAAAGGCAGUUUCAUGCUGCUUCUAUGCUGAUUCCACACCUGUUUGGGCUACUAGAGCAAGAACAUGGCUUCUUAUGCAGUAUAGAAAAGCUUAAGAGGAGCAGCAGGUGAUUGUUGCCUCCUGAGGCCGGUGCCAGCUGUGCUUAACCGCUGCUCAAGGCCAGUGUUACGGCAAACAAAAGCACUUAGGCCACCAGCAGAGUAUGCUCACCUGUUUGACUUUGCAGAGAGGUAAUCACAGAGCCAGUGCCAGCUUUGUGCCUGCCACCUCCCAACUGAGAGCUGUGACUGUGUGUGGGCUGAUGCAGCUGCAGAAGGACUGUCUAAGGGCUCACAAAGCUGAAGUCCGAGGCACAAAGUUCAAGUCCAAGGUCCUGUAUUGACAGUGUGUGUGGUCAAGACCUGCGUUCCUGUUGGAAGACGGAGAGAAGGAAAGCAGGACUGCAUCUUGAGCUCUUUGUACUGGCUCUGCAAGAGCAAUUGUGCUCACUGGCAGUAUCUAUGACUUGGACCACCCAGCAGCAUCCAGCACCCCAGAUCAUGUAGCUGUGCUCCAUUCCUUUAGCACAAUGACUGAGUUGGGCACCUGAGGACAAAGUCAUUAAAGCAGUCUGCUCUCAAGACCUAUGUGACAGCAACUGCAUCGCUGUCUGCUUUCACUGAAGUCAGCGGGACUCUGGCCACAGGCCUGAUUCAUCUAUCUCCUACAUCAGUAGAUUAUCUUUCAAGUCCAUUGGCUCCUAUGAAAUUAGAGCUGUCAAGCCCUGGAUGUACACUAUGGCAUGGUUCAGUCAAAAGAAAUGGGGGACAUGAUGGAAAUUGAAACCUCUGGAAAGACUUGGACUAUCUUGUAUGCUUAUCAAGUCAGUAGAAUAUUAAUGCUGUAUCCAUCACUCAGAGUAAUGGCUUCUGGAUGCUUGGCUGACUUUGGUAAGGGGCACUUUGAGAAGAAUAAAACUGCAUUUUCACUGCUGAGAAUCUUCCUACAACAUACAAUGUGGCCCAAGGGAUGCUGACAACCUACUGGUAUUGUCUUCAGAGACUACAUAGGGGCUAACACUGCUAAACUGUAUAAACAAGUGCUUACCCCAGAAUAUCAUUUGAGUCCAGACAGGAUUUACAAACGCAGAGACGGCCAGAGGUGGGCUGUCCUUCCAUCAGUCUGUGAAUCUACAAAGAAAAAAGAAGAUGAUUUUGUAUUCUUUCAAUUACAUAUAGAACAUAAUUAAAGUAAUCACAAAAACAGAUGCAUGAUAUCAGUAACUGGCAAAUUAAGAAUUCGGUCAUGGUUGUCCAGGAACUCGCAGCCUCCGUGCAAUACCAAUAAUAAUUAUUUAUAGCCUACUAUGCAAGGAAAUUAGUCCAGGAAAACUGUCUGCUUAUAACAUAAAGAGUCACCCCAAGGGAGAAGUUCAGUGCAGUGUGCAAGGAGCAAGACAUCACACCAUUUUCUUGUCUAGUAUUAUAAACUUUACUGCAAGUAGCAUUUGUGUAUUUUGCAGAGAAUGUCUCGGUUCCCCUGUAACAAAUGCCUGUUGUAUUCCUGCUGAGUUUCAUUGAAUUUACUCUUGAUUUAUACUUAAGAUCAGAGGCAGAUCCAUGUUACUUCUUUCUAUAUAAAUCCCUGAGCUGCCUAUUCACAAGGAUGAGCAACUUCGCAAAAGAAUGAGUUGAGAGAAUGAGCUGGGUGGCAGACUAACUAUUAGAUCUGAUGGCAUUACCAUAGCAUCUGGAGAAGCUAAAUGCAGUGCUAACUCAAGGUACAAGAAAGCUUCAGCCCUUGAAAAGAGCUAACAAAGACAAAGCACAGAAAGUGGGAGGUAGCAAAGAGGCACGGAGAAGAGAAGCGGCUGUGCAGCAACACACAGCAGGGAACCCAGAGGGGCAGGAGCAGGGCCCUGUCUCUCAGCACCCUCCAGCUUCACACUGCCUUUUGGUCCUUUCUGCAUGUGGACCUCAUGCAUCUUUAAUUAAAAGCACAAUCCAAAAAUAGAAAAUCUUUUUUUUGUCAAGGGAACUCCUGCUCUGCAAGUUAUUUCCUGUGAUUAAUACCUGCCUCCUCUGCUGAAGACAUCCAUCUCUGCGUGGAUCAGGUUCUAGUAAAGCAAAGCUCACCUCUUAGGAAAGAGAGCUUUCCAUUCUGUUUCUGCUAACAUUCCUCCUCACCACUGUCCCUGCUUGGCCCUGCAAUCAUUUUAUGAUGCAGCCCAACAUAACUCACAGUACUUCCCAUUACUGUAUGCCACCAGUGUUAGCAGAGCCCUUUUUGUGGUAGAUAGCAGCCUUCAGACACCCCGUGUUUCCUGUUCAACUGGAGCCAAUCACACAUUAUUUGGUACUGAAAGUCCCUAAUUAAUUUACACACAACAAGGCCAUUGUAACGAUAACGUAAUGGAGAUCGGCCCAUUAGCAAAAAGUGUGGAUAAAUUAUUUUCUUUUAAUGCUUCCAUCAAUAUUAAGACCCAUUAAUCAUAUUUUAAAAAACCAACUUUAAACAUACACACUAUUUGUAGGCAUUUCUGAUAGGAUGCCUGGCAGCCCUGCCUUUCAGCAAGGAAAUCUCUGCCAUGUUCUGAGCAGAACUGGAUUUUUACUGCACAGAAGAUAGCACAACUGGUCCAACUCCUCUGAUAUCCUCUCUAUAAAGUGAGAAUAUAACAGUUUUAACGAAAAGGAAAUCAACAUUAAAUGCAAUAUAUUCUGAAGGAGGGAAAAAUUCCUAGCAGCUGCUGAAAGGAAAGUGAAAUUCAUAAAUUCCUCUUUCAUCUUUAUCAAAUUACUAUUCAGUACAGUUACAUUUAUUAAUAACAACAUCCCUUAAACCACAUUGUGAAAAUCCAUUAGCAAGAAAUGCUUUAAAAUGUACAACAGGCUGCAACAGAUGGUUUAUCAAAGGCUGAAACAAUUCAACAGUAUAAGCAGAGCGGGCAUUUUUAUGGGCUGCUGAGCGUGCCAGAGUAUCAUUGUGACACAUCCACAAGUGGGCUGUUUGUGUUGUGUAACUAAAACUUUCUCUUGAAUCCAGUAAUCCACAUAACCAAGAGCUAAUGCAAACUCGUUCUGUGCUUUGGAUGUUUUCCCCAUACGUACCUGUGCCUGGAAAUGCUGCCAGCAGUUUCAGAGCUGAGUGCAGCACUGAGCAGGCAGUGCCACAGCCCUCACUGCUCACAGAGGGAAUGCGCACUGACUUCUCCAUAACAAACCCUAAUGAGAAGAAUCCUCAGAGAAGUCAUAACUAUUCCCAUGAGAGUCAACCCUUGCAGGACCAGCCUGGAGCCAAUCACUGUAUCACUCUUUAAUUUUUCAACACAAUUUGCCCUGGAAGUUUACAUAUUCCCUUCUUCUUUUCUUGAUUUUUUAAAAGCCAACAGUUUGAAUGUCAAUCACUGAGAGGGUAUGAGGCGAAAUCCAGAUGAGGGAUUUUGUCAUCGUCCUCAUGGCAGAAGCUGCCAGCCAUGCCCAUUGUGCACAUCCUGCACCACUGGAGCCGUGUGUGCAUCCCGGGAGGGCUGUUACAGAAGGGCUGCUGCCUUGCCCUGCUCUCGGUCGCUUCCAGUUUGCAGCAGAGAACAAUAAUGGCACAGACAGCGCAGCAUUGCUGUGCGCUCGUUCCCCAGCAGUGACUGUAUCUGUCACAGCCUCCUGCUGUAUCAGGGCAAUGAUAUUUCUGAAGGCAUUUUCUUUGUUGCUGAACAAGGCAAAGUCUGAGUUGGGGAAUACAGGAGAGGCGAAGGGACAGAGCGAGGGAUGUGUCUGCAGCUGGGUACAAGUGCACAGCAGUGCUGGCAGAUCAGCCUACACACAUUCUCCUUCCAGAUCUGAUAAUUCCCUACUUCUAUAAAAACACACCCAAGGCAGGGGUCACAAGGUGCCUAAGGUAGAUACGCAGUCUGCAGCUAAAUGCAUCCCAGUUCCCUGGAGGGAGAAGUCCCUUCAAAUCCAUCAGCUGUACAUGUAUCUCACCUCAGCAGGACGGGCAGGCUGUGCCACCACCAACAGCUCACUGGCUUCAUCCGUCCCCGCAGUGUGUUCCACUUAGGAGGGCAAAAGGAUGGCAGAACAAAUCAGUGGCAGAAUGUAUCAUCUGUAAUCACACACAAGUCAACUUGUUAAACUGAUUGAUUUCUGUCCCAACUGAGGUUGUAACUCCAUGAUUACUUUUGACCGAGCACAGCUAGAAAACACAUAAUUACAUGGGCCAAAGCACAGAGAAUGGUGCCCACUGCUUUGCUGGUAAAGUGCAGCACAUGAGGGGAAAAGAACCACUUGGAAAUGAAGUGUACAUUCACACCUCACCACAUCCUCACAGCAGAGUUUCUGGCUUUCAGGCUUGGGUAGCAUGAAAGGCGAAAAUUUCUCAGGAGCAAUGAUGGAUUGCGUGGCAUGAAACACUGCAAAUGGUGUCAGUGCUGGGGAUGGGGGUUCCACCAUCCAGCCAGAUGAAAGCAGUCCAGGCGAACGCUGGUGAGACAACACUUGGCACCUUGCAGGAACGAUCUUUCUUGGCUGUAAUCUCCCCCUCCUGGGGCAUUUCCAGUUUUCUCUGUUGUUGACCUGCAGUGAUGGAGCAAAGGGGUUGGACAUAGAUGGUGCUCUGAGCAGGAGUCGGGUCUGCCGGAGUGGGAACAGCUGUGGGGCUGGGAGGGAAACAGAGAUGGGAAUGAGACAGAUACACUUCCCCUCUGGGAGGAUGGGCUCAGGCAGCCUGAGGAAAAUAAGGCUAAAAUGAAAGGGAGGAAACCAGAGAAGAGAAGAUGGAACAAGGGAGAUCACAGAGAACAACAGGAAGCAGUGCUGAGAUGUCAGACAUGAAGGCUGGGCUUGUAGGAGAAAAGCAAACAGAGAGUAAAAAAAAAAUCAGGAUUAGUGUGCAAAAGACAGAAAAAUUUUUUUUAAAGUCCUAUAAAAGUGCCAACUACCCAGCUGCAGUAAGUGAAACUCCAGUACACUUACGUCAACACCACACCACAGAUCAGCACCAGGGGAGGAGGUCUGGGGUUGUUUUUUAAUUGCUUGGAAAGGCUUUCAGCGAUGCAGAACAUGAACUCCAGCUUCCACUGAUGUCAAAGGGAUUUAAAAGUGCUCACAGUCUCUCAAAACCAAGACCCAAGUUGUCAAAGUACACGAGACAAGAUGCUGCAUUAAUCCCUCGAGAAGAGCCAGCUUUGCACACUGCCUGACCCGCACCUCGAUGCCGACACACCUCGAUGGCACACAUGUGGCAGGGACAGGGACACAGCCCAGCUCUGCCCACCCCAUGCCAGGCUUUUGCUUUGCUCUCCCUGAUGAGCAGCGAGGCCCUUGGUUUGCACAGCCAGGCGUGAGUAGGGGUAAGAGGCAUCCGCUUUGCUGGUUGAAGUGAAAUGUUUGGCUUAUUGGCACAGCUUGUUUAGAUUGGCUCCUAGCACUCAGUCAAUGUUAUUAGAGAAAGCAAUAAAAAUGCAUUAAAUACUAGGAACUACAUUAAAACAACAUGGAGCAUGCAACACAAACCAAGAAAAGCAAGAAGCAAGGGGCUGAGUAUGGAGUCUGCCAUUCCUUCAGUCAUGAGUAUGAAUAUGGUGGAGCCAUGUCACAACGACAUUUGAAGAGGUAGAGCUGGUGAGUUCUUGCAUGCUGCAACAUGGAAGAUUUCAUCCCCUUUUCCUCUCCAAACCACAGCUUCUAGAAAGACUUUGAAAUGCUGCAGUCAGCUCCUACGCCUCCCUGCUGAGCUCCUUCCAGACUGAGCUCUUAAAUUUGCUACGUUUUUGCCAAGACCUAAUUUUCUUUUGACCACGUAUGAAAGGGCAGAUUCCCAUGCCACAGGGAGGGACUGUGAGAUGUCAUCAUGGACACAUCUGUCACCUGUCUGGUUGGAGCUCAUUGCUCUACCCCACUUCUGCAGCUCCGUCAGACAUCUUAGUUUCUUCUUUGGUCUUGAGAUAGGACUCCAGGGGCUCUGGGAUCCCUAACUUAUCUGUUCUGUUAACUGAUUUCAGCCAUAGCCAGAUCCUCACUUUUCUACUGUACUAUGAAAAUCACAACUGCAUGUUACGCCUGGUUGAACAGCAAGGUGAUUACUGUAAAGCCUGGAUUUCCCAAGGGAAUAAAGCUUUACAUGGAGCGCUGUGUGAGCCCAAUGUGUGCAAGUAGUUCUUGAUCGUGUCAGACUAUUUCAAGGAGACAGAGAGGAGGAUUUCUCAGAGCCCCGAAGGUCCCAGACAGGCAGAUGACAGACGGAGGACACGGACACCAUUAGCAUCCCCUGAGGAAAAGACAGCAGUGAAUGCUCCCUCUAUACCAGAUAGCAGAGAUGCCACAAAGGUGAGUGCUGUUCAUUCAACUCACUGAUCACGAAAUUACUCAUUAAUCAUCUCUUUGUGUGAUCACCUUCUAAUGCCACUCACCUGCCCCAUCUGCCUAGGGCUGCACCCUGCACAGCUGUCCGGUAACCACCUUCCUCACCCAGCUGCCCAUCACCUCCAAGGCCUCCAGCAGGGAUCCAUCCGUGUGUUGCUGCAGCAGCACAGCAGAGAAACCGGAGAGAGGAUCAACACACAAGGCAACAGGAGCUGCAGCAGGGCAACAGCUGUCCCUCAGCACAUCCAUUGUUCUUGUGCAGAGAAGCAGCUUUAAGAAAGUGGUGUAAAUUACAGGAACUGGAUCACUGGCUUGAACAAUGUCAGCACGUCCCUUCGAGGGCAUUCACUCCCCCCACGCCAUGAAAAGACAAGUUAUUAUUUAACAGCAGACCUCACACAGAGGAAUGUUUUUCUGUAUUCAUGACCUCUAACAAGUAUAGCAAUUGUUUACUAUACUCUGAGUGAUCCAGAAGGAGCUAUAAUGUGAUAAUUAUAGAGAAACCUUCCUAAAAAUAUAUAUCUGAUGCAUCAGCAAAAGCUCAGCAGGCCCCUCCAGCUGGCACUGUACAUAUGAGUUAAACCCAAUUUGAGAAUCAGAUCAUGCACUACAUUUUGUGCAGCUGUGCAAAGACUCCAACCAGAAGUUCUGGAGCAGAUGUCUUGUAAAGGAGGGAAGGACAUGAAGAAGAAGAGAAACAGAAGAGGCCAAGGCCACGUUUCUUGAUUGAGUGGUCAGCGACAUAGGAAAGUAUCAGUUCCACUUUCAAGCUGGAUAAACUGAGGCUCUGGAAAUCAGAACACUGGCAUUUUCUAAUCUGCUCACUGACUGGUUGGUGUCUGAUCUUCGAGGUCCAGCUUGACUCCAGGCUGUGCCUGCUUCCUCACAACUACUGAGCCUCUGCACUGUUCAUGAAGGGAUACGAUUCAUUAUGAUCAUUUUUUAUAUUUGUAUACCUGCUCUGUGCUCACCGUUUCCAAACCCCAGCUCAUGCACUUGGAAGAAACACGCAGAAAGGCUUCGGGACGUUCCUGCCUUGUAGCCAAAGCCACUGAAAAGUCAACCUGCUGCUGCUGCCCAGAGGUGCUGACCUAACUAACCCCUCUGCUGCUGGUUCCGCUGAUCAGACUGUGAAGGGAAGCCAGGGCACAGGUGUUUGUUUUCUUCGCCCAGUGCAGCACUUUUCUGGAGACAAGCUGGGACUUCACAGUCUCUGUAGCUCCUUGGCAGCAUCUACAUUCUCCUGUGCCUCAGUUUCCUCACCUACAGAAAGGCCCAGAUGACAAACCCUGAACCAAGGGCUGUGUUAAAGUUUGGAAAACACACAGCACCUUGAAAGAGGGCUUCUGUGGAAGCACAAACAGUCAUUUAUUGCUUCAAUUAAAAAGCGUGUGCCACAAUCCACAGUCUGUUUAUACUUACACUUCUUAUGGAUAUCUCUCUGAAAAGAACCCAGCCUUGGUAGCUCAUGGAUUUGGCACUGCACACCAAAUAAUAAGCAGGCUCACCAACCCUUCUACAACACACAGUGCUUCUGUGUAACUUUGCAGGCUGUGUUUGACUUGUCUGAACUUGAACAGUCACCACUGAUUGAUUGGCUUCUAAAAAUACACGUAUGCCAUGGUUCGGAGUCCAGAGAGCUCCUGUUGAUUUAGAUGGAGACCUUGCUGGGAAGAGGCUAAGACAGACACCUGACACCAGGGUGCUACCAUUGCGGCCACGUGCUGCCUCCUGUGCAGGGUGCUCUGAACGCGGAGCUCCGCGGUGCUCAACAGCCCUCCAUACCUGUGAGUGGGGAAAAAAGCAGGAAGAAAGCAGCCCUACGGAUCCCUUCCCUUCCUACAACUCCAUUUCCAGGCUGCCCUGCAGCUGUUGGUGAAAAGUGGAGCGAAGCUGCACACAUCCUGCUGGAGGGCUGAGCUCAGGCACUGAGUCCCUGCAGCUCCCAGCGGUCGAGGGAAUGCUCAGUGCCCUGCUGAGCUGGGAGGGCUCCCAGGGGCAGGGAUGUGACUGCUGCAAGGGAGAUGCAUUGCACUGUACCCUGGAGGAGGCCGCAAGCACGUGAUUAUUGCAACAGAAGCCGCUAGGAGAAAAACCAGAUUACCGUUUUCCAUUGAAGAAGCCAGCGCCCUCUCUUCAGCUCUGCCACACUGAACAUCCCACACGGCCACUUCUGUGUCCCUCACAGUCCAGCCGUCUUCUGAGUCCUGCUUCGGAUUUCUCCUUCCCAAAGACAGAUGAUGGGAGCUGGCUGUGACUUUCCAGACGGAGGCUGAGCAGUUCCUUGUAUGGUGGCAGGAGUGCUUCCCCAUCUUUACUGGAAAUAUCUUGCCUAAUAAACCCGAUGAUCUCA